GCUUAUGGCGCUGAGCUACAUCCCUGGCCCCGUAGCUGGUACAUUUUCUAAGCACUGCACUUGCCACCAUACGGAUUUGAUUGUGUUAUUUUACUGUGCAGUUUAAAGAUCCCAGGACUUGGGAAGAUAUUUCCUUGCAUUUCAUAGGGUUUCCAUUUCCCAAAGCAGUAGAACAGAUGCCUGCGUCAGAUUGAGCAGGUACAGAAGUGCCAUCCGCGUGCCUGCCAGUGUCCCCCACCUCGUUUUCCGGAGUGCCUCUUCAGGAGGAUGCCUCCUUUCCUAUGUGCUGCCAGAAGUGGUACAGCUAAGCCCUUCAUUGCUGGCCGAACAGUGAGCCUAGCACCAGGUCUUGCCUGCGUAAAUGGAAGCCACAUUCAGGAGCCCAGCAUUGGCUGCUUCUCAGCACCUUGGGACAGCUGUUAACAUUUGGCAGAUAAAGACAAUGAAAGAGAAGUCAUUUGUCUGAGCAUCAGCGCAGAAAGUCUUCCCACAGGUUAUGCCCUCAUGCUUCUCUGGAAGAAAGAGAAACCAGGCUUGAGUUGAGGAAUGACUUCUGUUGGUUGCUUUUCAAAGUCUACAGUUCAAGUGUUUAUUCUCCAAGUAUUGUCUUAUCAAAUUCUAAGCAAAUAAGAAACUUACAACCAAAUGUCAGUCAUCUCCAUUGGCACUUCUAACAAAAUAUAACUCACUGCUAUUACUACACACACUGCUUAAUCAGGCCAAUUUUCAUCACAGCAAGUCUGCAAUCUAAUGAAGCAGUACACAGAUGGACAUUCUCAAGCAAGCAAGCAAGUUUAGAGUUCUUCCUGUACAGUAAUGACCAGCUCUGAAACCAGUCAUCCUUGGGAGCACUGGAGAACACUCCUGACACCUUCUACUGAGGAAAAUCAUAGCAACUCUUGUUGAAUAGCAAUAUCUUCAGGAGAACAAACUUAGAGAAAGUAAGAAGUUGAAUAAAUAAUUGUAAUUAAACAAUUCCUAUUUA